AUGACAGGAGGGAAAUCUAGACACAGAAACACACACACAGGGAGAAUGCCAUGUGAAGACAGGCAGAGACUGGGGUAAUGCAGCUACAAGGGAAUGUCAGAGAUUGCUAGCAAACACCAGAAGCUGGAAAAGGCAAGUAAGGAUUGCUCCCUAGAGCUUUCAGAGGGAGGACGGCUCUGCCACAUGCCUUGUUCUUGGACUCCUAGCCUCCAGAAUUAGGUCACCUGUUGGGUAAUAUCACCACAGACUAAAUACAGAAGCAGAUAUUAGCCUCCAGCCUCCUGCUCAUCUGGACACUAGAGAGUAUCUCUUGGACAAUAAUAGUAAGAAUAGCAACACUGAGUCCUUAUUACUCAUGAAGUCUGGUACCAAGUGCUUUGCUUGAAUUAUCCCAUUUAAUCCUGACAUCUACCCUGUGAGGAAAGUUUUAAACUCACGCAUAUGGGGAGAAGAUGGCUGUGUCUUAAUGAGAAAUUAGAUCAUCCUGCCUAAGCCUCUAUCAGCAGGCUGUCUGGAAUCUACUGAGCUAUUUUAUCAGAGAAAGUCUUCCAGCAAGAUGGUUUAUGUGCAUGCUGUUAAAGGAGUGAACCUCUCAGUGAAGUCGCAGUUAUCUUGACCCAUGACCGCAGAGGAGCCAAACAAAUUAGGCCUGGCCAAGAACUGUCUCCUGCAAGGCUGGGAACAGCCACAGCUUUAGCAAAGAGAAGGGUCCUCAACCUUCCCUCUUCUGUUUGUGGUGCAAGGAUUGAUAAAAGGAGUCCCUGAAGGAAGGAGCACUUUGAAUAUUUCUCUUCAAAACAUAUCUCUACCACGUCUGAGAGUGUUCCUUACAGGACUGUUAUACCAGAAGACCCAUGUCUACAGGAUGCUCCAUAAACCCAGAAAAAGGAGCACAUGUAUUGGUAUUCUAAGAAUAUGACAGAUUUUUUUUUAGAAACGUAAUAUAAGAAACAUGCAUAUAUAUACAAACAUGCAUAAAUAUGUAUGUGUACAUAUGUAUACACAUAUGUAGAGAGAGGGAGAGAGAAAUUGAGUGAUCAAUUCAUUCAAGAAAAAUAAAUUAGAAAUAUCGUAAAAUGUCCAUCAGGAGAAUGGUCAAGCAAAUGAUGGCAUAUUUAUAUAAUGGAGAAAAAUCGGAAAAAAAAAUUGUAAGCAUGCCUACUAUAUGUCAGGUGUUUUCACAUUAUCUUAUUUAAUUCUCCCAGUCAAUUAUCCUUUCAGGUAAGAAUCAUUAUCCCCAAUUUACAGAAGACUAAAUGAAAAGCCCAUAAAAGGUAUUAAUAAGUUGCCUUGGGUCAUGAAGCUGGUAAAGAGCAAAGCUGAGAGCCACAUCCAGGUGUUUUGACUUCCUGCCUAGUGUUUCUCGCACUGCAUCCAUCUCUCCCCCAAGAUCUAUAUGUGAACUAGGUCAAUCAAUGGAAUUGUAAGUAUAAAAUAACAGUAAACAAAAAGCAAAUCAUAAUGUAGAUGCAUUGAUUUUAAUCACAUGAAAUUUUAUAUGUACUGAAAAUAAUGAUAACCAGGAGACUGACAGAAAAAACCUGAAAUUAAAAUCAUCGGAAUUUGUUCUUCCUGUUAAGUUGCUUAAGCACUCAAGAAAAUCACCAAAAUUAGCUCCUCAAUGCAUGCCUGUUCCAAGCUAAUUAAUCUGUUUAAAGGCUGAAUGUGGCUGGGCCAGGUUAAGAUAGAGAAAUAGCUCAUCCUUCCUAAAACACCCAGCUCCUUCAGAGCCAAAGUGACUGGCAGAGGGAUGGAGUAUAUCAAAGGAUGGAAUUUCUGUAAGUUAAAAAGCUUUGAGAGCAAGUUCAGAUCUCAGCAGAAAUCUCCUUUUCUUAAAAUUAGCACUUAUACCAUAUAACAUUCUUUGAAUUCUUCCUUCAAACAAAAUAAUUUAAUUGAGGGAUAUUCUCUUUCCUAGAGAGCAUCUAUCACCCGCAGUCAAAGAGAAAUACUUUAUAACCUUCCCUUCUAGUUCCUCUCCUCAGAUUUGGGGGCUACACUGUUGUCCUACGGAGUGGCCAAAACCAAAGCAAGAGUCUCACUUGGGCCUUCUCACAUCAUGCUGUAACUUGCAGAAAUAACCAGGGGUGAGCGUUGAUUGUUGGUGCUCCCUCCUCCAAAGAGUAACUGGGAAUUCACAAGAAUAACUGUUUUUCCAGAGACAAACUCAGAAAAGGCUCACCAAGUGUGUAGUCCUAGUGUGCUCAAAUCCAUGAGCUGAGAAUUAAGCAAGAUCCCACUUUUAUCUCGCCCCUUGGUGCUUUCAUUUUUAUAAUAGGCAGUUAUGUGUCUUCUAAUUCAGCAAAAGAAUGAAAUGUUGACAAAGGUUUUCUGAGAUUGUUUUUAAAAAGAAAACAGCCUAUAAAUACAAUUCAUACUGGUGUCAGUUUCUUUAUGAAAAGUAUUUCCUAUUAACAAAAAACACAGAAAUCCAAGUUCCCCAACUGGUUUCCCUUAAAACCUCUGUUUUGUUUUAAAGUUACAUAAUAACAACCUCCCUUGGUUCUCUUUUGUUUUAAAACUCCCACCUAUUUGCUCUCUUCUUUUGUCUUGACUACUACUAAUAAAGAAUCCUGGUUCAAGAAUCUAGGAAAAUGCUUGAAACAACUACAACAGGAUUAACUCAUAAUAUUAUUAAAUUUGAGAGUAGUAAUUUGACCCAUAAUUAAUUCUGAUCUUCCUAACAACUACACAGAAAAAAAAUCAGUUUGCUAACAUGGCUGGUCUCAUUAUUGGCUUCCGGCUGCAGCCCCAAAGGUUUAACAAGGACAUCUAUUGACAUUUUUAAAAUAUGCCAGCCACCCUAUUAAAAGCUUUGUAUGUAUUAUCUCAUUUAGUCCUCACAAAAAUUCUAAGAAGUAAUUGUUAGGACUGUUAUUGUUGUUCCCAUUUUAGAGAUGAAGAAACUAGGGCAAAGAGAAGCUGAGUAACUUGCCCAACAUACAUCAUUCAUCUAGUAAAUUGGGAACUAGAGUCGAACUCUACACAGUCUGGCUCCAGAGCCCACGGGACCACCACACCAUCACUGGUACAGACUGCUAUGGCCAUUCAGCGGGCUCCUAUAUCUGUAAGCCACUGAUCCCAAACACAAACUCAAACUCACAUCUCUC